CCGAGAAUUCUCCGAGUGCGAGUGGAGUUUGAGUGGAGGAAUUUUCAUUGCACAGUCGAGAACGGAGUAAAAACGAAGUAAUAUCCGAAUGAAUCCGAGUAAAAACGAAGGAAUAUUGGAGUGUACGCGCAACCACACUCCGAGGGCCCUCGGAGUGAAAUAUGGAAAAAAAAUUCAAGAUGGCUGCGUUAUUAGAACCAAUUGUUGUGGAAUUUCUUGAUUUAAUUGAUGAAGUAUUUCUAGAAAAUGAAGAAAGAAACGUUUCCAGGGACCCACGUCGGUAUUUGAGGGAUUUUAAAAAUCCACUGGAGUGGUUUAGUGACGUGCUGUUCAGACCACGAUAUCGUUUUACCAAGGAUCUUGUUCCACAUCACAUUCUGCCUUUGCUAGUGUUUGAAGAACCACGGAGUCGUCGAGGAUUACCGCUACCGCCUGUCCUGCAGCUGCUAAUUGCCUUGCGAUUUUACGCAACAGGCACUUUCCAGAUGGUGGCAGGCGAGUUAACAGGCGUUAGCGAGUCCACAGUUUCCCGAAUUAUCAGACGUAUCUCUGUCGGUUUAGCGCAACAUACUCUACAUCUGAUACGGUUUCCCACGGGCGAUGAAUUUCGAUUGAACAAGCUACGAUUUUAACACUUUCCCGGUGUUACAGGAGUGACUGCACCCACAUAAAAAUCAAAAGCCCCGGCGGUGCUCGGGGGGGAAGUAUACAGGUACGUAGGUAAACAUUGUUAAGGCAUGUUGAAACAUGUUUCGUGACAGACAUUAAUAUGAAAUGUGAACUGCGAGAUAAAUUGAAAUAAUUUGUCUAGUUUGUAUUUAUUUCAAUAUUUAAUACAAUAUUCAUGUUAGCACAUAGUUCUUUCAUGUAGGUAGCUUGAUUGUAAAGUAUUUCAAUUUGUCAAGAGCAUUUUCUUGAAUCUGCUUAUUCGAAGAUGGGCGUGUGCAGGGACUGCUGCUGGGAGACAGUGGUUACCCACAGUUGCCAUACCUGUUCACGUACAGAUGCAGAGCAGAGGCCAACAAUGAUGUGCCAAUCCCACCAGUUCCUCUCCGACCUGGGCGCGCCAUGGCCAUCAGGAACGAGUUCAUCAUCCGGCAUUUCAAUUAGCUGUUUUGAAAUGAUUUUUACACACAUUGUUUUACGUGGCUUUUUGAAAUCAGUGACCAUGAUCGUACCGUUUAAUAUUAGGUUUGUUUGGCUGGAAUGAAUAUUUUAUGAUUUUUGCACUCAUUCUUAUGGCUACUUAUGAAUAAUUCAAUUAUAUAUCUUCAUUUGUUGCUAAGCCAUUCCAUUGCAUUUCCUUUAAUCCUUCACAUAUCUACAGGCCCUGGCAUUUUGUUUCCAACUUGUAAACAAAUUUCAAUUAAAUUAAGAAAUUUUACAUGAACUUUCUAAUAAUGCAGCCUUUUACAAAUGUCUGAGUAAAGAAGUACAUUUGUUUAUAUUUUUGCUUUUUGAUUCUUUUGUAUUUUAACUUGAUGAAAUAGGUAAUGUUUUGUUAAAAGUAUUAUUGUGCAAACAUAUUUAUGUUGUCUCAAGUUUCAUUUUGUUCACUUACCUAUGAUAUAGGAUUGUAUUGCAGGAUCUUAUUUCAUUUUACUUUUGUUUAGUCAAAAUGGUUUAUAUCUUAAGAAAGAAAAGUAAUAUAAAAUAUAUUUGUUUAAAAACAUUUAGAUAUACAGGUGUGGUGAAAAUAGGUAGGAAACUGUGAAUUCAACUAUGUAUUAUGCAAAAACAUUGGGAAUCAGUUGGUAAAAACUGGUUUCAUGAUUGAAAUACUCUCAAUGUAUUGGGUAAGAAUGUUUCCAAAUGAAACAUUGAAAAUUAGUUGAUUGUUUUGCAGUUCCUGUUGCUGCCGCCAGUUGUGGCUCCACUCAAGUGCUCGGUGCUGCCCCUCAGCGGCAACGUGGAGUGCCAGCCCUUCGUGUGCAGAGCAGUUAGUGGGCUGGCAGGGAUUCUGUUGUCUCUACAUCCUCGACGGGCAUGACCAGGAACAUUCAAACAUUCAGGAAUUACAUCAUAUUGAAGAUAAUUUAUUAUUUAAUGAUUUUGCAUGUUAUUUAAACAAACACAUUUCAGGGAAAUUGUGGGCAAACUUUGCCUAGGCUUGUAGUAAGCACUCAUGUGGUUUACCACUGAACUACCCUUGUUUGUUUAAAAAAAAUAACAAUAUUCUUCUACAAUGUUUUUUAUUUUUGACAAGAAGGGUAAAGUUAUGAAAAUACAAAAGUACAGCUACAAAUCUUUUAAAUGCAAUGCCAAAAGCAAAGAUUUUACAUUUUAAAAUUUUCGUUGUUAUAGUUGUUUUAAUUGUUUAAUAAUCAUGCAUUAAUACAUAACAAGAUAAUAUCAAGAAAUAUUGUUAUGGAACCUAUUGAACUAUAACAUUUUAAUGUAUAUAUAUAAUUGAUUGUGUAGUGUAUGUUAUUUCUUGUGGCAACAAUUUUUAAGUUGUUAAUUUUAUUCACGAUCUUAGUAUUUCAAUACUAUUAACACAAAUCACAACAUAGUACACAGUGUUAAAAGCCCUUCAUAAUUCUUGUACAUUUCUGUCUGAUGUUUCUCUGGAGACCUUUAGCCAUAUCUGUUUGAGAUCUGAUAUUGACUGCUACUAUGUAUGUAUUUCAUGUAUUUAUAAUAUGGUUACAAAAUACAAAAUACUUUAUGGUCACCUUUGCAUGUUAUUAUUUAUUUAAAUUGUUACUUUUAUUUAAAUGCUCUGCCACACACAUUAAUUUAUAUUGCAUGCCGUAUGUAAUUUCCAUCAGCUAAAACAUUUCAUGUACACAUACAUGUACAUUACAUACAUAUUUCACAUACCGCUACUUUAUGUUUAUUACUUUCAGUAUGCAUCUGAAAAUGUUCAAUUUCUGUGAGUUGAUGUUUUUGGAUUUUUAAUUACGGGAUGUGGUAUUAAUGUGUGUUUCUUGACAUGACUUUGGAAGAAACCUCGUCAUGUGCUUCGUACCCCUUUGAGUAAACCUGUAAUGUUAUUGUAACUCAUUCUGGCUCAUACGUUUUGUGAUUCAGCACACCCUGUUUUAUUAUAAUUAUAUAUAUAUAAAUAUAGUAAAUACUUUUGUCUCUUAUUAAGGGCCACUUCAAAGUCCUUUGAUUUUCAUAAGUGCUGUGGUCCAAGUGAAAAACUUUUAUGUAUAACAUAACUGUCCAAUUCAGUGUUCAUUUUGUUGACCUUUAAAUUCAAAAUGGCACAUUUUGCCGUCUAACUUUGAACCUAUGAAGUAAAUGUAAGUGGUGGUUUAAGUAAACACCAGGGCUACAAAUUUUAGAUAUACACUAUGCUCAUAUUUGAUGUGUGGUAUCAGAGAAUAUUGUACAAUUGGGAUUAAUCACUGAAAUAACUAGGAACGAGAUUUCACUUUGAAAUUUGAUAACACUAAAAUAUCAGUAGAUACCUUUAACGAAAACAAAAUACAUAAAUGUACAAAGGGAUGGAAAAGUUAAUUAUGUUUCCCAAGUGAAGAUUGACUUCUUCGUCUCAAUUUUCUCUUAAUGGUGUUAACAUUGUUGCAUGUAUUUAACAAUGCUCCAUUCACCAACUUUACGUAAAGUGAAACAUCAUUAUUGCCACUGGGUAGGUAAGUUGAUGACUCAUUAGUGUGUGAUGAAAAAUAAUAUAUGAAAAAUACUACAUCUGCUACGAAUAAGUUGUUGGGUUUUAAUUGCCAUAGUUAAUACAAACAUGAAAUUCUUAAAGCAACAAUGCAAUUGUCUGCUUUGUAUGUAAUAUAUUACUAAAUAAUAAUAUACCUACGUUAUUUGGCAUGCAAUUGACUCUUGAAAAUUAUACACCCAAACACAAAAUAAAGGUUUUGUGUGAAUUAGCAGCUGUAGUAGAGCAUCGAGGCUGAAGAGUAGGAGCAACAUCCACACAAGAACUGUCUGAAGCUGGGUCUUCUGAAAUAUACAAAGAAUGCAAAUAUGUUUUGUGAGGAUGAGAAACAAAAUAUAAUCAUCUGCUGUGAGAUUAAUGUUUAACAAAUUUGCCUCUAAAUUAAGAAGUUUAUUGAGAUAUGCCAAUUAGUAUUCACCUUUAUGGUUUGGGUUUGAAGAUUCUAUCACAUAAAUGUUAAUUAUUUAAAAUUAUACAACAUCAGCCUAUAAUUUCUAAGUGCACGAAUGAGAUAUAAUUCAACUAAUGCAUAUAAAUGUUCAGUCUGAAUUGGGUGUAGUAUUAAUCAAAUAUGAUUGAAACAUGCAUUAUAAAGUGUAAUUUUGUAACCAGACUUCAGAUUGAUGGUGUCAGUCAUUCCUAAUGUUGAUAACUACUACGUUAUGUACUAUGCCUCUUUUUCCCCAUUACUUGUACAAUAUUCUGUUUGUUAUCACUUACAAUAAGUGGCUUUUGCACAAUCAACCAACACAAACUAUUUUGCCAUCUACCCUUAGCAAUGUGUUAGUUCUUCGGGGAACAUGAUGAUGAUAUGAUGCAUUAUUUGUACACAAUUGUUACAAAAAUAUAAUUAAUUGUAAUUAUUUUCUUCACAAUACUGGAAUUAUAAUACCUACUUUCAAUAGUCGUAAGCAAUCUUUAAUUUGUACGUUAAGUAAAACAAAUGAUCUAUUAUUCAGAAUCACUAAAAAUUACAAUAAAUAUGCAAGUUUCUUUCCUGUAUUAGAUAGCACAAUAAAAUUUUUAAAAAAUACAACUAUACAUAACUUAAUUUUUUUUGUGGUUAAUUAUUAUAUUGUUUCAAGUUAGUUUUCUUUUUUCCUGAAUUAUAUUUGUAAAGAAAUUAUUUACUAAUUGUUAAAUGUUGCAUGUUGUGUGUAUUGUUUUUGUUUUGUCGUCUUGUAUUUUGUAUUGUUUUGUUCUGUCUGUAUGUAUCUUUGUUUGUAUCGUGCCUACCACCCAAGGCCAUAAGCUGUAGGUAGGCACGCAACAAAUAUUAAAUAAAUAAAAUAAAUAAUA